rnacentral:rRNA from 1 species
CCCUUAGAUGUUCUGGGCUGCACGCGCGCUACACUGAUGCGUUCAACGAGUGUACAACCUUGCCCGAUAGGGUUGGGUAACCUUUUGAACACGCAUCGUGAUGGGGAUUGAGUAUUGCAAUUAUUACUCAUCAACGAGGAAUUCCUAGUAAUGAUGAAUCAUCAGUUCAUCGUGAUUACGUCCCUGCCCUUUGUACACACCGCCCGUCGCUCCUACCGAUUGAGCAAUCCGGUGAAUAUUUCGGACCUAGAAUUGUCGGGGCAACUCGUUCAGUUUUGGGAAAGUCAAGUUAACCUUAUUGCUUAGAGGAAGGAGAAGUCGUAACA